rnacentral:rRNA from 1 species
AACCAGCACCUCAAGUGGUCAGGAUGAUUAUUGGGCCUAAAGCAUCCGUAGCCUGUUCUAUAAGUUUCCGGUUAAAUCCAUGCGCUCAACGUAUGGGCCGCCGGAAAUACUGCAGAACUAGGGAGUGGGAGAGGUAGACGGUACUCGGUAGGAAGAGGUAAAAUUCUUUGAUCUAUUGAUGACCACCUGUGGCGAAAGCGGCUGGCUGGGGCCACUCUGACGCUGAGGCGCGAAAGCGUGGGGAGCAAACAGG